CCCUGACAAGCUCAGAGUGAAGCCCCUGGGAGGGAAAAGAUAAGAGGGAAUGAGAAAAGAUCAGGGUGGGGACCACCAGACCAGAUGUUUUAACCCCAGGGUAAAUGAUGUCACUGAGAGAUCCAGCGGCUGCUGACAGGAUUAAAAGGGGGGUCAAAAGCCCCAAAAUUUGUUAUAAAUAAUAGAGCAAAUGAACAGACAUUCAGCCUGGUGACACUGAUACACACGAGCCUGAGAGCCUGGUGAGGACUUGGACUGACAUCCCUACUCUUCUCAUCUGCCUGAAUCUCUGUGUAGUUCUCAUCGCUCUCAAACUCUACAGCCACAUCUUGACCCUGGGAGCGCACCUCCUGGAGGGUAAGGGAGACCUAGUCUUGAGCACCAGCAAGGCCUAUUUCAAAUAUAAGAGACCCUGAGGCUCACCUGUGGGAACACCUCCACCAGCUCCUUUGUCCAACAGGCGAAAAACCAGAAGUAGAUCCUGUUAGGUCGAUGGAGGUGACUGAGGAACCAAGCACCACCAAGCAACCUGCGCUCAAAAGAACACCAGACACCCGACGGAGCCACCUGUCAAUCAGCAGGGUCAUCUGACCAAUCCUGGAUCUUAGCCAACUCUGCCAACAAACCCCAUUUGGAUAAGGGACUCUAAAGACCCCUUUUCCUGUCCCAAGCCCUCUCUUCCUGCCCUAAGCCCAGUAAAAAUUUCAGUCCAGUGGAGCCCCCCACCCUUCUCCUUAGACCCGCUCUGCUGGUCUGAGCGUCCCACCCUGGAGCAAAAUCUCAACAAAGCCUCCCUCAGCCGCCUUUUUAAAUCUGCCGCCUUUUGGUCGCAGCUGUCUGGCCUUACAUCUUGUGCCGAAACCCGGGAGGGAUUUUUGGGCGUCUUCCAUACCUUACAACUGGGGAUUGAGGUCCAUCAUCCCCGCUUCAAAGGAACCAGGAAAUUCCUAGGCUGCUCCUUCCCUCUCCCUUCAUCAGGCUGGCAAGAGUGGGGUAAGUUCCCAUUUCCCCUGACCUUCCAGCCCCUUUCCAUCCACGGGGGUCUGCCCGUAAGUCACGCGUGUGCCAUAGACUCCCACCUGUUCCGUUCAAGGCCUGGGGACUGCGGAGACUCCCAGUUCUUGUGUGAGCCAUUCUGAU